ensembl:lncRNA
CCGGGCUAUAAUCUAUGAAACUGAGCCCGGAUCCAGCCAAUCAGUUAGCUCCUCAUAACAGGUCUAACUGGCUCUGGACAGCUGAAGGGCUGCGCUGGAGCACAGCAGAGGAGUAUACUCUCCACAACACUGCAUGUCUACAGUCACUUUGCCUGCAAAGGCCAGAGGGGGAAAAAUUCACAGCUUCAUUGUCUCGGGGAGGGAGGACAGGUGAUCUGGCACAGACGGAGUCCGAAGCUGGAGCAAGCUGUCCUGGCGUGGCAGUCCCAGCAAGUGCAGACCAGAGCCACCCCAGACACCAAACUGCGAGCCUGCAGCCAAACCCUGAGGCAAGAGUCUAGCAUUGGCUGUCUUCUGAGAGGCUCCACCCACCAGCUGACUCAGACAGAUGCAGACACCCACAGCCCAACAAUGGAUGAAGCUUGGAGACUGUUAUGGAAGAAUAGAAGGAAGGAAUACAGCCACAAAGGGGAUAGGAAAACCAACAGAAUCAACUGACCUGGACCCUUACAGCUCUCAAAGACUGAACCACCAACCAAAGAACACACAUGGACUGGACCUAGACCUCCCUCACAUAUGUAAUAGAUGUGCAGCUUGGUCUUCCUGUGUGACCUAAACAACUGGAACGGGGGCUAUCCCUAAGCUGUUGCCUGUAUGUGAGAUCUGUUCUUCUAGCUGGGCUGCCUCAACGGGAGAGAAAGAACCUACCCUCCCAGAAACGUGAAGGGUCACGGUUGGGAGGAGAGUAUACCAAGGGGAGCCCCUAUCUGCUCUGAGAAGAAGGGGAGGGGAGAUGGGAGAAGGAUUGUGGAAGGGGGUGAUCAGGAGAGGGGCAGUGAGCUGGAUGUAAAGUGAGUAAGUAUAAAUUAAUUAAUUAAUUAAUUAAUUAAUUAAUAA